rnacentral:rRNA from 1 species
GAUGAACGCUGGCGGCGUGCCUAAUACAUGCAAGUCGAGCGAACAGAUGAGGAGCUUGCUCCUCUGACGUUAGCGGCGGACGGGUGAGUAACACGUGGAUAACCUACCUAUAAGACUGGGAUAACUUCGGGAAACCGGAGCUAAUACCGGAUAAUAUAUUGAACCGCAUGGUUCAAUAGUGAAAGACGGUUUUGCUGUCACUUAUAGAUGGAUCCGCGCCGCAUUAGCUAGUUGGUAAGGUAACGGCUUACCAAGGCAACGAUGCGUAGCCGACCUGAGAGGGUGGUCGGCCGCACUGGAACUUAGACGCGGUCCAUGCUCCUGCGGGAGGCAGCAGUAGGGAAUCUUCCGCAAUAGGCGAGAGCCUGACGGAGCAACGCCGCGUGAGUUAUGAAGGUCUUCGGAUCGUAAAACUCUGUUAUUAGGGAAGAACAAAUGUGUAAGUAACUAUGCACGUCUUGACGGUACCUAAUCAGAAAGCCACGGCUAACUACGUG